rnacentral:rRNA from 1 species
CCUACGGGCGGCAGCAGUGGGGAAUAUUGGGCAAUGGGCGCAAGCCUGACCCAGCAACGCCGCGUGAAGGAAGAAGGCGUUCGGGUUGUAAACUUCUUUUCUCAGGGACGAAGCAAGUGACGGUACCUGAGGAAUAAGCCACGGCUAACUACGUGCCAGCAGCCGCGGUAAUACGUAGGUGGCAAGCGUUAUCCGGAUUUACGGGGUGUAAAGGGCGUGUAGGUGGGGACGCAAGUCAGAUGUGAAAACCACGGGCUCAACCUGUGGCGUGCAUUUGAAACUGUGUUUCUUGAGUACUGGAGAGGCAGACGGAAUGCCUAGUGUAGCGGUGAAAUGCGUAGAUAUUAGGAGGAACUCCAGUGGCGAAGGCAGUCUGCUGGACAGCAACUGACGCUGAGGCGCGAAAGCGUGGGGAGCAAACAGGAUUAGAUACCCGUGUAGUC